GACGAACGCUGGCGGCGUGCUUAACACAUGCAAGUCGAGCGGUAGGGCCCUUUCGGGGGUACACGAGCGGCGAACGGGUGAGUAACACGUGGGUGACCUGCCCUUAGCUCUGGGAUAAGCCUGGGAAACUGGGUCUAAUACCGGAUAUGACUCCAUGACGCAUGUUGUGGGGUGGAAAGCCUUGUGCGGCUAGGGAUGGGCCCGCGGCCUAUCAGCUUGUUGGUGGGGUGAUGGCCACCAAGGCGACGACGGGUAGCCGGCCUGAGGGGGCGACCGGCCACACUGGGACUGAGACACGGCCCAGACUCCUACGGGAGGCAGCAGUGGGGAAUCUUGCGCAAUGGGCGAAAGCCUGACGCAGCGACGCCGCGUGAGGGAUGACGGCCUGUGU
rnacentral:rRNA from 1 species